UAAAUUUGCCAGUGUUAAAAAUGCAGUGUCAAAGUAUUUUAAUUCUUACGGAGUUCUUCCAACAAUGGACAGAGUAAAAUUGAACCAGAAAACUUCCAGUGUUGGUGAAAAUAAUCGGAGUUAACAGAGGUUUUACUCUGUCAGUGUCAUUGACUCUCUCAGAGUUAAUUCAACACCUAUUAGAACAAGAUUCAGUGUUAAUACUCUGAAAAGCCCCGCCCAUCAACUUGACCGGUCAAACUGAGAAUUUGGACUCUGGCAUCGACAUCUUCCUCGCAUCGAAAUACUGUGACUGUUCUGUAAUGUACUGUGGUGCUCUGGUGAUACCAUCAUGUUGAUCAAAACCAGAAUCUACAGUAGUCAGAAAUAUGUCAAGAUAAAAGAGCCAAGCCUUGAGGAAUUCUUAAAUUCUGCUUUCUUGAAGUUCUCAGUUCCGCCAGUCAAUGGUGUCAAGGUUUUUGAUGAAACAGGAACUGAGGUGGAUGCAGAGGUCUUCUCUGACAUAGCGCAGCAGCCCAAUACUGGCAUACUAACCAUCAAGUUUGAUGACGGUAUAGUUGCUCACUAUAAUUCAUGGAAUGGAAUGAUGAACUCAACUUUUUUUUAUUGUUACAGAAUAAAACAAAUUUGUAUUAUUCUGUCCUGUCUCUUUCUCCUGAACUACAGAUUUGAAGGAAACUUUGUCCAGCAGUUCCCAAGAAGCAAAUUCCAGUGUACUGUCUACUGGUAGCAGUGAUGACACAGUCAUCCUCGAAAUCGUGUCCUGCAACUCAGAUGACACAAUCAUACUGGAGGAGAGUGACAGUCCACCCAGAAAGCGACAGAGGGCAAAUGAAGAGGCC